rnacentral:tRNA from 1 species
GCGCUAUUAGCUCAGAUGGUAGAGCAACUGACUCUUAAUCAGUGGGUCCUGGGUUCGAGUCCCCGAUGGCGCA